GUGUGAUCAGGCGGGCCCCCAACCCCGGCGGCAUCCUGGUGAUGAAGUCCUGCGCCCCGACCUGCCCCAACAGCACCGUGUCC